AGCACGUGACCAUUUUUCAUUCUUAAGGAUGUUAGUGGAAUUGUAAAACCUUGUAGGUAAGAAUAUAGGAUAAAAAGGAUUCACGAAGCUCAAACCCCAUUCACAUUCCUGUAUCUCAGUCUUGUACUUCACCAUUGCCUUUAUUAGAUGACAUUGCUUUUUGCGGUCCAUGUUCUAGAAAAAACACUCUCCUUCUUAACCCUGGCUAGAAAGCUUGAUCCAAAUCUUAAGGUGAAAAGCAUUUCACUCAUCUUUUGCUUUUUACUUCAAUCAGCUAUAUCCAACUUGAGUGCUGAAAUAUGUUAGUUUCUGGGAGAGUUACUUAUAAUGGGCAUGGAAUGAAUGAAUCUGUACCUCAGGGAACUGCUGCCUAUAUUAGCCAGCAUGAUGUUCAUAUUGUAGAAAUGACUGUAAGGGAAACUUUGGCUUUCUCUGCAAGGUGCCAAGGGGUUGGAUCACGUUAUGAACUUUUGAGAGUUUUUUUUACCAAAAUUAAAGAGUAUUUUUCAGGAAAAAAAACUCUUAAAAGCCUUCUAGAUUGGUAUUCAAAUAUGCUCAAAGUAUUGUUUUGGCCGUGUACAGACUCACUAUCUGAACUGUCAAGAAGAGAGAUAGCAGCAAAUAUGAAGCCUGACAUGAAGGUAACAGCCUCUGAAGGCCAGGAAGCAAACCAGAUGAUGACAGAAUUUGUACUUAAGGAGAUGAAAUGUUGCGUGGUAUAUCUGGUGGACAAAGGUAGGGUGGUGUGAUCCAACUGCUUGUCCCUGUAAGUGAUUCCAAUUCAGUUUCUAAAUUCUAUAUUAAUAUUAUGUACUCAUAAUGGACACACGAAGAAAAAUUGUUUGUACCACCCAUCAACCAACCAUAAAUAUAUUUGAAGCUUUUGAUGAGUUUCAGUUUUUCCUACCAAAUCGAGGAGGACGAGAAAUGUAUGUUGGGCCAUUGAGUCGUCAUUCUAACCACCAAAUUGAGUAUUUUGAGAGAAUUGAAGGUGGUAGAAAAAUUAAAGAUGGAUACAGCCAUGCAACUUGGAUGAUGGAAUACAACUUUCGGCAUUAGAAAUAGAUUUGAACAUCGACUUUGCUGAUAUAUACAAAAAUUCCUAACUACAUACAGGGAAGUUGUUUUGUGGUGUUACUCAACAUUCUUAUUUAGUAAAAAUAUUUUUUCAAACUAGUGCUGAAAAAAUAGAUAUGUAUGCCAUAUGUUAGGUGGAAUAAAGCACUUGUAGCAGAAUUGAGCAAGCCUCCUUUUCAAACCAUUUCAUGCAAGGCCUGUCCAUGGAAACAACACUGGUCCUCUUUAGUUUGGUUUUUUAUUUUUUGACACAUGGUGUAAUGGUGACACUGGUCCUAUUGGGCAUGUUCUGUGGCUUGGACCUUAUAUGGAUUGGUUAAGAGUUUCUCCAAAGAUAUUUUGGUUAUAGAUAUGAUUUUGUAGGAGUUGUGGGGUUUUGCAGCACUCUUUACUAUUAUCUUUGUGUAAAGGUCUUCAAUUUCAAAAGUCAUCUAAUAGAUUAUACAUCCUUUCAAGUGA